rnacentral:lncRNA from 1 species
CAGUCUGAUGGUCUGGGAGGUAGUAACUAGUAGUGUCUAUUCAGCAGUCUGAUGGUCUGGAGGUAGUAACUAGUAGUGUCUAUUCAGCAGUCUGAUGGUCUGGGAGGUAGUAACUAGUAGUGUCUAUUCAGCAUUCUGAUGGUCUCGGAGGUAGUAACUAGUAGUGUCUAUUCAGCAGUCUGAUAGUCUGGAGGUAGUACUUAGUAGUGUCUAUUCAGCAGUCUGAUAGUCUGGGAGGUAGUAACUAGUAGUGUCUAUUCAGCAAUCUGAUAGUCUGGAGGUAGUAACUAGUAGUGUCUAUUCAGCAGUCUGAUAGUCUGGAGGUAGUAACUAGUAGUGUCUAUUCAGCAGUCUGACGGUCUGGAGGUAGUAACUAGUAGUGUCUAUUCAGCAGUCUGAUGUUCUGGGAGGUAGUAACUAGUAGUGUCUAUUCAGCAGUCUGAUGGUCUGGGAGAUAGUAACUAGUAGUGUCUAUUCAGCAGUCUGAUGGUCUGGGAGGUAGUAACUAGUAGUGUCUAUUCAGCAGUCUGAUGGUCUGGGAGGUAGUAACUAGUAGUGUCUAUUCAGCAGUCUGAUAGUCUGGGAGGUAGUAACUAGUAGUGUCUAUUCAGCAGUCUGAUAGUCUGGGAGGUAAUAACUAGUAGUGUCUAUUCAGCAGUCUGAUGGUCUGGAGGUAGUAACUAGUAGUGUCUAUUCAGCAGUCUGAUAGUCUGGAGGUAGGAACUAGUAGUGUCUAUUCAGCAGUCUGAUGGUCUGGGAGGUAGUAACUAGUAGUGUCUAUUCAGCAGUCUGAUGGUCUGGAGGUAGUAACUAGUAGUGUCUAUUCAGCAGUCUUAUGGUCUGCGAGGUAGUAACUAGUAGUGUCUAUUCAGCAGUCUGAUAGUCUGGG